rnacentral:SRP_RNA from 1 species
UGCAGCCGGGGAGUUAGCGGUGCCCUGUACCUGCAAUCCGCUACAGCAGGGGUGAUGCCAAACCGAGGGUGUAGUACUGCAGAGCUGCCCCUGAUAAGUGAUGUUGACGUCUGGGUCUUACGCAACAGGAAUCCGUGAACCGUGUCAGGUCGGGAACGGAGCAGCACUAAGCGGAACCUUCUGUGUGCCGUAAGGGUGCCUGGACCGAGUUAACUGUCAGGGUAACGUCUGUGGUAUGCAUUCAAAGGGCGGCGCACG